ACAGCAGCCGCCGCGGUAAUACGUAGGUGGCAAGCGUUGUCCGGAAUUAUUGGGCGUAAAGGGCUCGCAGGCGGUUUCUUAAGUCUGAUGUGAAAGCCCCCGGCUCAACCGGGGAGGGUCAUUGGAAACUGGGAAACUUGAGUGCAGAAGAGGAGAGUGGAAUUCCACGUGUAGCGGUGAAAUGCGUAGAGAUGUGGAGGAACACCAGUGGCGAAGGCGACUCUCUGGUCUGUAACUGACGCUGAGGAGCGAAAGCGUGGGGAGCGAACAGGAUUAGAUACCCGUGUAGUCCCUGUCUCUUAUAC
rnacentral:rRNA from 1 species